rnacentral:rRNA from 1 species
UACGUAGGGUGCAAGCGUUGUCCGGAAUUAUUGGGCGUAAAGAGCUCGUAGGCGGUUUGUCGCGUCUGCUGUGAAAACUCGGGCUCAACUCGAGCUGCAGUGGGUACGGCAGACUAGAGUGCGGUAGGGGAGACUGGAAUUCCUGGUGUAGGCGGUGGAAUGCGCAGAGUAUCAGGAGGAACACCGGUGGCGAAGGCGGGUCUCUGGACAGCAACUGACGCUGGAGGCACGAAGGCCAGGGAGCAAACGGG